AGAGUUUGAUCCUGGCUCAGGAUGAACGCUGGCGGCGUGCCUAAUACAUGCAAGUCGAGCGAAUGGAUUAAGAGCUUGCUCUUAUGAAGUUAGCGGCGGACGGGUGAGUAACACGUGGGUAACCUGCCCAUAAGACUGGGAUAACUCCGGGAAACCGGGGCUAAUACCGGAUAACAUUUUGAACCGCAUGGUUCGAAAUUGAAAGGCGGCUUCGGCUGUCACUUAUGGAUGGACCCGCGUCGCAUUAGCUAGUUGGUGAGGUAACGGCUCACCAAGGCAACGAUGCGUAGCCGACCUGAGAGGGUGAUCGGCCACACUGGGACUGAGACACGGCCCAGACUCCUACGGGAGGCAGCAGUAGGGAAUCUUCCGCAAUGGACGAAAGUCUGACGGAGCAACGCCGCGUGAGUGAUGAAGGCUUUCGGGUCGUAAAACUCUGUUGUUAGGGAAGAACAAGUGCUAGUUGAAUAAGCUGGCACCUUGACGGUACCUAACCAGAAAGCCACGGCUAACUACGUGCCAGCAGCCGCGGUAAUACGUAGGUGGCAAGCGUUAUCCGGAAUUAUUGGGCGUAAAGCGCGCGCAGGUGGUUUCUUAAGUCUGAUGUGAAAGCCCACGGCUCAACCGUGGAGGGUCAUUNGAAACUGGGAGACUUGAGUGCAGAAGAGGAAAGUGGAAUUCCAUGUGUAGCGGUGAAAUGCGUANANNUAUGGAGGAACACCAGUGGCGAAGGCGACUNNNNGG
rnacentral:rRNA from 1 species